GGGCCAUUGACCUAGCUAGUGACUUAAAAAAAUAUAUUUGGUCUUUAAGUUUUAUAUUAUACACACACAACAUAGGAAAGCCUCUGGUGACAAAAUAGUGUCAGUGGAAUUAGAAUGAUGACCAGGAAUUGUAUAGGAUUCUAAUGGUAACCAUAGCGUUCCAAACUCAUUUCUAUGGCAACACAGCUGUCAAUUUUGUAAACAACAAUUUCAAAUAUAUGUGUUGCCAUGAGACAUCUAACCGUUAGAACAUAUCGGCGUUCUAUUGAACGUUUUCUGUUCGAAAACAAGAACAACUUCAAUUUGCUGUUCAACAACAACAAACUUGACGGAUUUUUGAGACCUGAGAUUGAAACAUCGACUGGAAAAUGCCUGGGUGCUUUUCAAGAUUGACGGAGAGAGUGCGAGGACUUCGGCAGCCUUCUGCGUCGACAGGUUGUUCAAAUUCAUUUAUGGGUUGUUUUUGUUGUCUUUUUCCGUUUUGCAGGGUUCGCGAUCGUCGGGAGGUGGACAGCGACUUCGAAGAGGAAUCAACUGUACUGGAUGAGGUCCAGUUGGAUGUGCCACUGCUGCCAGUUAUCCUUCAUGUCCAGGAUGCUGCUAUCAUCCUUGAGGUACACUUUUCAGAAAGCUUUUGGUUUUAUGUUUGAAAAGUAUCCCACAUAUUCAUUCUGAAAAUCUUUGUUGUCUGCUUUAGGAGGCCACUGGUAAUUGGCAGCUGAUACCGAUUAGGUACAGCCCCCUGUACUGUGGGCCUGUUGUGAUCAGGGUAAGAGAACCACACACAGUCACAUCACCGUUACAAUGUUUGCUGUUUCUAACCUGAAUGUACUGUAAUGUCACCCCCCUCUUGUGCAGAACAAUGCCAGUCCGGUGGCUAAAGCCUGGAGAACUUUCCAGUUCAUCAGCCCCAUUAUCACCUACAUGUGUGGGGGAUCCCAGGUAUGUGUCUUUGUAACUAUCUAGUCCUAAUCUACAUUGUCCGAGUCAUGUGAUCAAGAUGGAAAUAUGUUACAGCGAUGGCUGAUGUUGUUUUGUUGAUGUUACUUGUCGUUUCUGUCCACAGCAGGUGGUGGUGAGGAUGCACCAUGUGAGUAGGGUUCGAGGCCUGGAGACUCAACUGGUGUGGGCCAUCUCCAAGGAGACAGCCAGGCUUAGUCCAGAGGGCAUCCCCUACUGUGCCACCAAGGUGCAGUCCGUCACUUGGAUCCAGGUAAGAUGUAAAUACUACUGAAAU
rnacentral:lncRNA from 1 species